rnacentral:rRNA from 1 species
UAGGGAAUUUUGCGCAAUGGGGGAAACCCUGACGCAGCAACGCCGCGUGACCGAUGAAGCUUCUAGGAGCGUAAAGGUCUGUCGUAAGGGAAGAAAAGUUUGAAUGUAAAUAAUGUUCGAACCUGACGGUACCUUACAAGAAAGCACCGGCUAACUUCGUGCCAGCAGCCGCGGUAAUACGAGGGGUGCAAGCGUUGUCCGGAAUCACUGGGCGUAAAGGGUCCGUAGGCGUCUCAAAAAGUCAUUUGUUAAAUACACCGGCUUAACCGGUGACCUGCAUUUGAAACUGUUGAGAUAGAGUAUAGGAGAGGAAAGCGGAAUUCCUGGUGUAGCGGUGACAUGCGUAGAUAUCAGGAGGAACACCAAUGGCGAAGGCAGCUUUCUGGCCUAUUACUGACGCUGAGGGACGAAAGCGUGGGGAGCGAACAGG